rnacentral:rRNA from 1 species
AUGCAAGUCGAACGGACACCAUCCAGUAGCAAUACUGGUGAAGUGUUAGUGGCGAACGGGUGAGUAUCACGUGAGGAACCUGCCCCGAACUCUGGGAUAACAGGCGGAAACGCCUGCUAAUACCGGAUAGCACCAGCGGAUCGCAUGAUCUGCUGAUGAAAGUUUUUCGGUUCGGGAUGGCCUCGCGGCCUAUCAGCUAGUUGGUGGGGUAACGGCCUACCAAGGCAUCGACGGGUAGCUGGUCUGAGAGGAUGAUCAGCCACACUGGGACUGAGACACGGCCCAGACUCCUACGGGAGGCAGCAGUAGGGAAUCUUGCGCAAUGGGCGAAAGCCUGACGCAGCAACUCCGCGUGCGGGAAGAAGGCCUUCGGGUUGUAAACCGCUUUUGGCAGGAACGAAAAUGACGGUACCUGCAGAAUAAGGUGCGGCCAACUACGUGCCAGCAGCCGCGGUGACACGUAGGCACCAAGCGUUGUCCGGAUUUAUUGGGCGUAAAGAGCUCGUAGGCGGUUCAGUAAGUCGGGUGUGAAAACUCAGGGCUUAACCCUGAGACGCCACUCGAUACUGCUGGGCUAGAAUUCGGUAGGGGAGUGGGGAAUUCCUGGUGUAGCGGUGAAAUGCGCAGAUAUCAGGAGGAACACCGGUGGCGAAGGCGCCACUCUGGGCCGAUAUUGACGCUGAGGAGCGAAAGCGUGGGUAGCAAACAGGAUUAGAUACCCUGGUAGUCCACGCCGUAAAC